rnacentral:misc_RNA from 1 species
GAUGAAGAACGCAGCGAAAUGCGAUAAGUAAUGCGAAUUGCAGAAUUCAGUGAGUCAUCGAAUCUUUGAACGCACAUUGCGCCCUGUGGUAUUCCGCAGGGCAUGCCUGUUCGAGCGUCAUUUCAACCCUCAAGCCUCGCUUGGUGUUGGGCCCUGCCCGCCGCGGCCGGCCCUAAAGAUAGUGGCGGCGCCGCCUGGCCCUCAGCGUAGUACAGCUCUCGCUCCAGAGUCCGGCGGCAGCCUGCCAGAACCCCCCAACUCUGUGGUUGACCUCGGAUCAGGUAGGGAUACCCGCUGAACUUAAGCAUAUCAAUAAGCGGAGGA